rnacentral:rRNA from 1 species
GAUGAACGCUGGCGGCGUGCCUAAUACAUGCAAGUCGAGCGAACAGACGAGGAGCUUGCUCCUCUGACGUUAGCGGCGGACGGGUGCGUAACACGUGGAUAACCUACCUAUAAGACUGGGAUAACUUCGGGAAACCGGAGCUAAUACCGGAUAAUAUAUUGAACCGCAUGGUUCAAUAGUGAAAGACGGUUUUGCUGUCACUUAUAGAUGGAUCCGCGCCGCAUUAGCUAGUUGGUAAGGUAACGGCUUACCACGGCGACGAUGCGUAGCCGACCUGAGAGAGUGAUCGGCCACACUGGAACUGAGACACGGUCCAGACUCCUACGGGAGGCAGCAGUAGGGAAUCUUCCGCAGUGGGCGAAAGCAUGACGGAGCAACGCCGCGUGAGUGAUGAAGGUCUUCGGAUCGUAAAACUCUGUUAUUAGGGAAGAACAAAUGUGUAAGUAACUAUGCACGUCUUGACGGUACCUAAUCAGAAAGCCACGGCUAACUACGUG